UACGUAGGUGGCAAGCGUUGUCCGGAUUUACUGGGCGUAAAGAGCGCGCAGGCGGUCGUUCAAGUCGCGUGUGAAAGCCCCCGGCUCAACUGGGGAGGGUCACGCGAUACUGAUCGACUGGAAGGCAGGAGAGGGUAGUGGAAUUCCCGGUGUAGUGGUGAAAUGCGUAGAUAUCGGGAGGAACACCAGUGGCGAAGGCGGCUACCUGGCCCACUCUUGACGCUGAGGCGCGAAAGCUAGGGGAGCAAACGGG
rnacentral:rRNA from 1 species